ensembl:lncRNA
CUCUCAUGUUCCUUCUGUUUCACUUGUUCUCUCUCCAAUUCCUCUCUUUUCUUUCUUUUUUCCUCAUGUAUUUUUUUUCUUUCUUUCUUUUUUUUUCUUCCUCUCUCUCUCUCUCCUGGUCUCUCUCGCUCUCUCUCUCUCUUCCAGCCCCAUUUUCACAUUCCUCUGUUUUCAGAGACAGGCUCCUCCCUUCUCCUCCUCCCUCCCUUCCUCCCUCCCUCUAUUCUCUCUCUCUCUCUGUCUGUAUCUGUGCAUGUGUGUUCAGUUGUUCAGUAGCAGUGUAUCUCUCCGUGGCAGGGGCAGCUUCAUUCUCUCCUGCAGGAUGUCGGGCCCUCGGACCAGCUCCAUACUGCUGCUGUUCACCAUCGCCUCCCUGCAGAACGCUCUGCUGGAGGCCAAGUGUGAAGCAGUUGGAGAGGAAGGAACGACAGGACGUCAGCACUUGGAUCCAUGGCAUGAACAGAUGAAGCAACUGAGCUCAACCUACACAGACGCAGCCUCUCACAGGCACACAUACCCUCUUUCUGCCAUGCAUGGGGGCGGAGCUGUGCGCCUUCGUCGUGACCUGCGUGACUCACUGCCUUAUGAAGCCCAGAUGAUGUCCUAUCCCACUGCUGACUUCAAGGGGCGGGGUAAUGAGCUGUACUACCAGCCAGAGGCGGUGAGGGCGCAGGGGCUGGGUCAGGCCCUCCAAAGGCUGAUGGAGAACGACCAGCGGCGGGAGCAGGAAGCAGCGUAUCUGGCAGGUCUACUGCGCCUCCUGAAUGAGGCGGAGAAUAAUGGCCAAGGGAAACAGGAGGAAGAGGAGGAGGAAGAGGAAGGAGACUUCCAGGGGCCAUACCCGCCAGACUAUGAUGAGACGGAGCAGACGGUCAGCAUGGCUAAGCCACAGGCCCUGCUGGACCCCCAGCUGGCCGAGGCUCUGCUCAACCGCUACAGACAGGAGAGGCUGCUUCAGGCUGGGCUUAACCCAACCUCCAACCGCCUCCCAGACAGAGAGCAGGAGAGGGACCAGGAGGUGCUCCGGUACCUGGUUGAGAAAAUUCUCUCCAGUCUGGCUCCAGGGAACCAGCCGAGCCCCUCCAACCGCCGAGCCAAACGGGACGUGAGUGCGGUGGCCAGCGUCGGACGGGGUGGAGCUUCCUUGAGACGAUCCAGACGCUCUGUGGACUCCGUCCCCGUCCCCUCGCCCAGCGCUGAGGCCUCACUGCUGCGGGUGAAGAGGCUGGGUGAUGAAGAGGAUGAUGAAGGUUUUGCUGCCCAGAGCAACAGAUCACCCCACGCUGGGCUGCAGAGGAUGAAACGCAUCGACACAGACAUGCCGCUCCCUCUGAAACACAGCCGCAAACGCCGGGCGGUGUCCUAUGACCCCAGUGUCAUCGCUCAGCACAUCCUACAGUACCUACCAGCAUAA